rnacentral:rRNA from 1 species
AACGAACGCUGGCGGCAUGCCUAACACAUGCCAGUCGAACGAGACCUUCGGGUCUAGUGGCGCACGGGUGCGUAACGCGUGGGAACCUGCCCUUAGGUUCGGAAUAACUCCCCGAAAGGGGUGCUAAUACCGGAUAAUGUCUUCGGACCAAAGAUUUAUCGCCUUUGGAUGGGCCCGCGUUGGAUUAGCUAGUUGGUAGGGUAAAAGCCUACCAAGGCGACGAUCCAUAGCUGGUCUGAGAGGAUGAUCAGCCACACUGGGACUGAGACACGGCCCAGACUCCUACGGGAGGCAGCAGUGGGGAAUAUUGGACAAUGGGCGAAAGUCUGAUCCAGCAAUGCCGCGUGAGUGAUGAAGGCCUUAGGGUUGUAAAGCUCUUUUACCCGGGAUGAUAAUGACAGUACCGGGAGAAUAAGCGCCGGCUAACUCCGUG